UACGUAGGGUGCGAGCGUUGUCCGGAUUUAUUGGGCGUAAAGAGCCCGUAGGCGGUUUGUCGCGUCUGCUGUGAAAACCUAAGGCUCAACCUUGGGCUUGCAGUGGGUACGGGCAGACUAGAGUGCGGUAGGGGUGACUGGAAUUCCUGGUGUAGCGGUGGAAUGCGCAGAUAUCAGGAGGAACACCGAUGGCGAAGGCAGGUCACUGGGCCGCAACUGACGCUGAGGAGCGAAAGCAUGGGGAGCGAACAGG
rnacentral:rRNA from 1 species